GCUGCUCCUGCCUAAGGCGAGACGAGGAGGACGGCCAGGAGGGCGAUGGAGAUGAGCAGGAUCUGCAAGUUAUUUCGGCGCCAGUGCAACACCAAGAGAGAAGAUUGCACACACUCAGACCUCCCUGGAGGCCCAGAGCAUGUCUUCCAGUCACUAUCCCCCCAGGAAAUUUCUGAGUGAGAGCUGGAACAUGAAAGAAAGGAGGAAGAGUUAGGGAAAAGAUAAUGCAAGGGAACCUGAGGAAGGUGAAGAACAAGGUGCAAAGAGGAUGUAGGUCUUUACUAGUGAUCAGAAGCAUGCUCAUGAGAAGAAACUGCUCAUUUGGUGCUUCUUUCCUCUUCUCCUUCACCAAGAUUUUAUUUCAAAAUUUUUCUUUUUCCCAGAUGUUGUCUACUUUUUCCUAGCUAUUUU